rnacentral:lncRNA from 1 species
GGUGGUGGUUACUGAAGGUUGGGGUGGCUGUGGCAAUUUCUUAAAAUAACACAGUGAUAAAGUUUGCUGCACUGAUUGACCUCACCUUUCAUGAAAGUUUUCUCUAUAGCAUGCAGUACUGUUUGAUAGCAUUUUAUCACAGUAGAACAUCUUUCAAAAUUGGAGUCAAUCAUCUCAAAAUCUGAUGCUGCUUUAUCAACUAAGUUUAUGUAUUAUUAUAUUCUAAAUCCUUUGCUGUCAUUUCAACAGUGUUCACAGCAUCUUCACCAGGAGUAGAUGCCAUCUCAGGAAACCACUUUCUUUCAUCAUCUGUUAAGCAAUUCCUCAUCUAUUCAAGUUUUAUCAUGAGAUGGCAGCAAUUCAGUUCAAUCUUCAUGCUCACUUCUGAUUCUAGUUCUGCUGCUGUUUCCACCACAUCUGCAGUGACUUCCUCCACUGAAGUCUUGAACCCCUCCAAGUCAUCUGUGAGGGUUGGAAUCAACUUCCAGACUCCUGUUAAUGUCUCUAUUUUUACCUCCUGUGAAUCAAAAAUGUUCUUAAUGGCAUCUAGAAUGGUGAAUUCCUUCCAGAAGAUUUCAAUUGACUUUACUGAGGUCCACUAGAGGAAUCACUGUCUACGGCGGCUGUAGCCUUAUGAAAUGCCUUUCUUAAAUAAUUAGACUUGAAAGUGGGAAUUAAUCUAUGGGCUGCAGAAUGGAUGUUGUGUUAGCAGGCAUGAAAGCAUUUCUCCCUUUGUACAUCUCCAUAAGAGCUCUUGGGUAACUGACCAGGUCCUUGUCAAUGAGUUAUUAUUUUGAAUGGAAUCUUUUUUUCUGAGCAGUAGGUCUCAACAGUGGGCUUUAAAUGUUCAGUAAACCAUGCUGUCAACAGAUGUGCUGUUAUCUAGGCUGUUUACAGGCAGAGUCGAUUUAGCAUAAUUCUUAAGGGCCUUAUGAUUUUCAAGAUGGUAAAUGAGCAUUGGCUUCAACCUAAAGUUGACAGCUAUGUUAGCCCCUAAAAUGAGAGCCUGUGCUUUUGAGGUUUUGAAGCCAGGCAUUGACUUCUCAACUAUGAAAAUCCUAGAUGUCAUCUCCUUCCAAAUCUGUUUUUUCAUUUAGCCACCUUCAUCCAUGAUCUUACCUAGAUUUUCUGGAUUAUUUACUGCAGUUUCUAAAUUAGCACUUGCUGCUUCACUUUGUACUUCUGUAUAAUGGCAAUGGUUUCUUUAGUUAAUCCUUAUGAACUGGCUGGGUGCAGUGGCUCAUGCCUGUAAUCCCAGCACUUUGGGAGGCUGAGGCGGGCUGAUUGCUUGAGGUCAGGAGUUUGAGACCAACCUGGCCAACACGGCGAAACCCUGUCUCCACUAAAAAUACAAAAACUAGCUGGGCAUAAUGGUGCACACCUGUAAUCUCAGCUACUCAGGAGGCUGCAGUAGAAGGAUCACUUGAAUCCGGGAGAUAGAGAUUGCAGUCACUGCACACCAGCCUGGGUGACAGAGCUAGACUCUGUCUCAAAAAAAAAAAAAAAAAUUAAAUUUAAAAAUCUUAUGAACCAACGUCUGCUGGCUUCCAACCUUUUUUCUGCAGCUUCCUACCUUUUUUCUGCAGCUUCCUCACUUCUUUCAGUCAUUAUAGAACUGAAGAGUUAGGACCUUGCUCUGUAUUAGGCUUGGGCUUAAGGGAAUGUUGUGGCUGGUUUGAUUUUUUUAUCCAGGCCACUGAAUCUGUCUCCGUAUCAGCAAUAAGGCUGUUGCACUUUCUUAUCAUUCGUGUAUUUGCUAGAGUAGCAUUUUAAAUUUUCUUCAAAACUUUUGCUUUGCUUUGCAUUCACAACUUAACUAUUUGGUACAGGAGGCCUAAUUUUCUGCCUGUCUCGGCUUUUGACACGCCUUAAUCAUUUCUAGCUUUUUAUUUAAGGUGAGAUGCAUGUGACCCUUCCUUUCACUUGAGCAGUGAGAAGCCAUUGUAGGGUUACUAACUGGCCUAAUUUUAAUAUUUUGUCUCAGGGAAUAGGGAGGCCUGAGGAGAGGGAGAGAGACGGGAACGGCUGGUUGGUCGGGCAGUUGGAACACACAUGCACAGCAUUUACAGAUUAAGUUUGUCAUUUUAUGUGGGCACAGUUCAUGUCAUCCCAAAACAAUUACAAUAGUAACAUCAGAAAUCGCUGAUCA